UUAUCUUUGUGAUGAUUUGGUAAUCGAGAUACUUUCAAUGUCUCGGUGCAAGGGAAUCCAGUGAAAAUCUGGAGCUGUUCCUGCAGCUGUAAUACCUCAAUUACGUGGGUUAAAUCAUCUAAGAAACACUGUGUGUAAAAGCAUGGGAAGUUUAUUUAACCAGAGGUAAGCCAGAAGACCUGCCAAGUACAACAAAACAAA
rnacentral:ncRNA from 2 species